GACGAACGCUGGCGGCGUGCUUAACACAUGCAAGUCGAACGGUAAGGCUCCAGCUUGCUGGGGUACACGAGUGGCGAACGGGUGAGUAACACGUGGGUGACCUGCCCUGCACUUCGGGAUAAGCCUGGGAAACUGGGUCUAAUACCGGAUAGGACCGCACCGUGAGGGUGUGGUGGAAAGUUUUUUCGGUGUGGGAUGGGCCCGCGGCCUAUCAGCUUGUUGGUGGGGUAAUGGCCUACCAAGGCGGCGACGGGUAGCCGGCCUGAGAGGGUGGACGGGCACAUUGGGACUGAGACACGGCCCAGACUCCUACGGGAGGCAGCAGUGGGGAAUAUUGCACAAUGGGCGGAAGCCUGAUGCAGCGACGCCGCGUGGGGGAUGACGGCCUUCGGGUUGUAAACUCCUUUCACCAUCGACGAAGGGUUUCUGACGGUAGAUGGAGAAGAAGCACCGGCUAACUACGUG
rnacentral:rRNA from 1 species